rnacentral:rRNA from 1 species
GUGUCAGCAGCCGCGGUAAGACGAACCAUCCAAACGUUAUUCGGAAUUACUGGGCUUAAAGGGUGCGUAGGCUGCGCAGAAAGUUGGGUGUGAAAUCCCUCGGCUUAACCGAGGAACUGCGCCCAAAACUACUGUGCUUGAGGGAGACAGAGGUGAGCGGAACUUAGGGUGGAGCGGUGAAAUGCGUUGAUAUCCUAAGGAACACCCGUGGCGAAAGCGGCUCACUGGGUCUCUUCUGACGCUGAUGCACGAAAGCUAGGGGAGCGAACGGGAUUAGAUACCCCCGUAGUCC